GACGGAGGAUGCAAGCGUUAUCCGGAAUGAUUGGGCGUAAAGCGUCCGCAGGUGGCAGUUCAAGUCUGCUGUCAAAGACCGGGGCUUAACUUCGGAAAGGCAGUGGAAACUGAACAGCUAGAGUAUGGUAGGGGCAGAGGGAAUUCCUGGUGUAGCGGUGAAAUGCGCAGAUAUCAGGAGGAACACCAAUGGCGAAGGCAGCACUCUGGGACGUGACUGACGCUGAGACGCGAAAGCGUGGGGAGCAAACAGG
rnacentral:rRNA from 1 species